rnacentral:lncRNA from 1 species
UGAGCAAUUUGGAUAACGAAGGGGCAAUCUCGUCUGCCAGUUCAAGCAAGAGUCUGCUUGGAAUGCCAUAACCACUGUAUGACAUAACCACUAGUGUUAUGACAUAACCGCUAGUUGUUGUGACAAUGCCAUAACCACUGGUUCUUUGGAAUGCCUUAACAUGAUUUCAAAAAUUGGCGCAGAGACUCUCUCUACGCUAAUUGUCGUCAGUUCUACUGCAUAUUCAUUGUGGGUAACAGGUUUCGAUAGAAAAUAAUUAGAGAUUAGCGUUUAGAGAUUUCAAUAUUUAUUUAGUCCUACUACAACAUCUACAUGUAGGCUACACAAAGAGUAACAACAUCUACAGGCUACACAAAGAAAAAUCAUUACAUAAUUUCUUCUCUAUUGGUAAUACCAACUUCUCCCAAUUAUAUUACGGCUAAAAACUCCCAUAGUAAUUCACGGCAUUUUGAAUACCCUGAUAAAAUCUCAGCCCUGCUACAAUAUUGCUUUCAAUAAUAUCAUCAUGCGACGUUUCUGUCAACACGAACGUCGCCCGAAAAUUGGUAGAACUAAUUUUAGCUGCAUUUUGCAUCAUAGCGCUCAUGUAAGGAAUCAAGAAAACUUUAAAAAUCUUAUGUUUUGUCAUAUGAGUUGAAAGGUUACCACAAAUACACCCUUUCGAGAAGCAGAACAUCCUUCUUCAACACAUGCGCGAAAAAAUUUGGAUUUUGACCAAUAAAUAUGGAAAUAAGCAUUACCACAAUUCAGAGGCUCCAGGUGCCUCGUUUUCGUGUUAAAGCUUAUUUCCCCAUUUAUUGGUCAAAAUAAAGAAUUCUUUAUCAUGCAUGUGUUGAAAAAGGAUGUUCUUCUUCUCUGUGCAUAGCCCAUGAGAAAAAACAAACUUGAAAUCCUUUUCAUUUAAGGUGGUCUUAAGUUGAAAACAGUGUAGUUGUGACGUAAUUAUCGAAAGGGUGUAUUAACACAAACACAGUCUCCCCUCGGCAAUCUGACGUCCGUGUCACAGAUGAGGUAUAUACAGAUAUGAAUCUCCCGUCAAAAAUUGCUGAUUGUUUUGUGUCACACGGAAUUCGCACUUCCGGCGAGCGCUGGCAAGUAGAGGUGUGCAAAUCCGAUCCGAUCGGAUUCGUUCGGAUUUCAGAACCAAAAUAUUCAUUUCGGAUCGGAUUGAUAAAGUUAUUUCGUAGUCGGAUCGGAUCAGACUUCGAUAUCCGAAAUAAAAUGAAUUAAUUAUCCACGCAAUAUCGCAAGAAUUAAUUAUCCAUGCAUCUAUCAAAGCAUCAUUCGCGGUUGUCGCUGCAUUAUUCGUUUGAUACUUCAAUUGGACGUCACAUUGUCAGCUUCUUGAUAUGUAUUUCUUGCUUUUAUAUUUUUUUUGGUUAAAUAUUUCAACUUGAAUGAGAAAUUUAUUUUAUUAAAGAAUUCUUCGGAUCGAAUCGGAUUGGAAUUCUUUUUCAAAACUUGGAUCGGAUUCGGAUUAGACGAUUUCGGAUCGGAUUUUAGAAAUUAGGCAAUUGUCGGAUUAUAAACGUCCAAUCCGAUCCGAUGGACACCUCUACUGGCAAGUGUCGUUGCGCUACAGACGGCUACUUUUGGAAUGAAUUCUUCAAGAGUAACGGUGAGCGAUCACUUUUAUUGAUUUCCUUUUAUUAAAAGUGUUAACAUAACAUUUUAUUUAGCAAAACUUUGUUUUUCCUCCUAUCUACUCCUUAUUAAAAUCGUGAAAUACACUUGCUGGAAAUUUCAGAUGCCAAUUAUAUGUAUAAUGAUAUAAAUUCCUCAAAAUAUAAAGGCCAUGUUGCACGGUGCAAUUUUUCUUGCAACUUGCAAUGCAAUUCUACUCUUGAAAGAUGUAAAAUUGCCAAAUACGAGUCUUCAUUACAUUCCACGAGCAUUCCACUGAUGUUUUCUCAACAUAUCGAAAAUUCUUCACUGAUUUUACUAAUUAACAUCUCUCAAGAGUAGAAUUGCAUGGCAAGUUGCAAGAAAAAUUGCACCGUGUAACAUGGCCUUUACUCUCGCAUAAAAAACAUGAAUACUACUUCUAUAAUAUGUAUAGUUUUAUUCCUUUGCAUUAUCAAAAUUUAAUAAAAUAGUGAAUUAAUAUAAUUUUAAAGUUUAUUUGAUCGCCGUGACAUAAUUCGCCGCGAGAUUCGUCUCUGUAUAUCUCUCCUCUGUGUCCGUGUUGACAAAAACGUCGUUUACUUAAAUGUUCCCCCUGAACGUCCACCAUGGUGACAGCGUUGCAAAGAUUACGCCAAAAGGCCCAAAAUUACAGGCAAAUCAGUCCAAGAACUCGACUUUCUGUAUGGCUCCUAUUCUGCGUCGAAAUGCUUGGUAGUAGAGGUGUGCAUCGGAUCGGACGUUUAUAAUCCGACAAUUGGCUAAUGUUAAAGGUACCCGGACAUUUUGCCGAAAGACACUUUGCCGAAAGACAUUUUGCCGAAAGACAUUUGGCCGAACGGAAAUUUUGCCGACGGACGUUUUGCCGAACGGACGUUUUGCAGAACGGACACUUUGCCGAAAGGACAACUUGCCGAAAAUAGAGAUGUUAUUUCGUCAAAAUGUUUGGGACUGUGACUCAUUUCUCAACUGUGUAAUUCUCAACCAUUGUGUAAAAUAAUCAUUAUAUGGUCAUUAGCAGUGCAUAAUGGUCAUUAGCAUUGCAUAAUGUCAUUAAUAGUGCAUAACCAUAUUGACUAUUGGUAGCUUGAUGACUCAUUUGUUAAGGAACGUGUUUUGACGUCAAGUCGUAAACAAACAAGCGUAUAUAAAGACAACGACGUAAGCGAAUUUUACUUCGAGAAUCAUGGAAUACAUUCACUGCAGUUCUGGGGGAAAUCGCAUUAAUGAGUGAUGUUGAAUGAUGUUAUUCUUUAUAUCGCGAAAUUUCGGUAAACUUGUCAAAAACUUGAAAGAAUAUAAAACGAAACUAUACUUCACUAUCAAAGUUUCUGUCAUCAAAAUCGACAAUGACUUUAAAUCACAGAUAUUUUGACCGUAUAAGCGAACCUUUAAAGUUCAGAAGAUAUCUCCAUUUUCGGCAAGUUGUCCGUUCGUCAAACUGUCUGUUCGGCAAAAUGUCCAUUCGGCAAAAUGUCCGUUCGGCAAAACGUCCGUUCGGCAAAACGUCCGUCGGCAAAAUGUCCGUUCGGCAAAAUGUCUUUCGGCAAAAUGUCUUUCGGCAAAGUGUCUUUCGGAAAAAUGUCCGGCCACCAAUGUUAAAAUCCGAUCCGAAAUUGUCUAAUCCGAAUCUGAUACUAAUCUGAUCCAAGUUUUGAAAAGGAAA